CCUGCAAUUGGAUUGUAGUCUUUGAACUGAAUACAAUUACAAAUUUGGUGAGGUUGCCCUUCGACCCAGUGCAGCGUAAUACUCCUCUGGGAUCCGUCGAAAUUCUGCUACAUUCUGGGCACAGACUCGACCCACCAGCAGACAGUCAUCUGCAAAAAAAAGAUACGAGAUUGGCUGGACACUAGAAGCUAGCACAUAGGGGUCUAAAGCUGAUCUCUGGAUCAUAGUAUGGAUAGCUCAUGAAAGAGUAUCAGCACAAAAAAUGAAGAGGUAGG
rnacentral:lncRNA from 1 species